UACGGAGGGUGCAAGCGUUAAUCGGAAUUACUGGGCGUAAAGCGCACGCAGGUGGCUGAGAAAGUCGAUUGUGAAAGCCCUGGGCUUAACCUGGGAAUUGCAGUCGAAACUACUCGGCUAGAGUAUGGGAGAGGACAGUGGAAUUCCCGGUGUAGCGGUGAAAUGCGUAGAUAUCGGGAGGAACAUCAGUGGCGAAGGCGGAUCUCUGGACAGUUACUGACACUGAGGCACGAAGGCCAGGGGAGCAAACGGG
rnacentral:rRNA from 1 species